GGGUUGUGAGGUUAAGCGACUAAGCGUACACGGUGGAUGCCUAGGCAAUCAGAGGCGAUGAAGGACGUGCUAAUCUGCGAUAAGCGUCGGUAAGGUGAUAUGAACCGUUACAACCGACGAUUUCCGAAUGGGGAAACCCAGUGCAAUUCGUUGCACUAUCGUUUGAUGAAUACAUAGUCAAACGAAGCGAACCGGGGGAACUGAAACAUCUCAGUACCCCGAGGAAAAGAAAUCAACCGAGAUUCCCUAGUAGCGGCGAGCGAACGGGGAGCAGCCCAGAGUCUUAAUCAGCAUUAGCAUCAGGAGAACGGUCUGGAAAGUCCGGCAGUAAAGGGUGAUAGCCCCGUAUCCGAAGGUGUUAGUGUUGUGAACUCGACGAGUAGGGCGGGACACGUGUUAUCCUGUCUGAAUAUGGGGGGACCAUCCUCCAAGGCUAAAUACUCCUGAUUGACCGAUAGUGAACCAGUACCGUGAGGGAAAGGCGAAAAGAACCCCGGCGAGGGGAGUGAAAUAGAACCUGAAACCGUGUACGUACAAGCAGUGGGAGCCUUGAUUUAUCAGGGUGACUGCGUACCUUUUGUAUAAUGGGUCAGCGACUUAUAUUCUGUAGCAAGGUUAACCGUAUAGGGGAGCCGUAGGGAAACCGAGUCUUAACUGGGCGAAUAAGUUGCAGGGUAUAGACCCGAAACCCGGUGAUCUAGCCAUGGGCAGGUUGAAGGUUGGGUAACACUAACUGGAGGACCGAACCGACUAAUGUUGAAAAAUUAGCGGAUGACUUGUGGCUGGGGGUGAAAGGCCAAUCAAACCGGGAGAUAGCUGGUUCUCCCCGAAAGCUAUUUAGGUAGCGCCUCGUGAACUCAUCUUCGGGGGUAGAGCACUGUUUCGACUAGGGGGUCAUCCCGACUUACCAACUCGAUGCAAACUACGAAUACCGAAGAAUGUUAUCACGGGAGACACACGGCGGGUGCUAACGUUCGUCGUGAAGAGGGAAACAACCCAGACCGCCAGCUAAGGUCCCAAAGUCAUAGUUAAGUGGGAAACGAAGUGGGAAGGCUCAGACAGCCAGGAUGUUGGCUUAGAAGCAGCCAUCAUUUAAAGAAAGCGUAAUAGCUCACUGGUCGAGUCGGCCUGCGCGGAAGAUGUAACGGGGCUAAACUAUGCACCGAAGCUGCGGCAGCGAUAUGUAAAUAUUGUUGGGUAGGGGAGCGUUCUGUAAGCCUGUGAAGGUGUGCUGUGAGGCAUGCUGGAGGUAUCAGAAGUGCGAAUGCUGACAUAAGUAACGAUAAUGCGGGUGAAAAACCCGCACGCCGGAAGACCAAGGGUUCCUGUCCAACGUUAAUCGGGGCAGGGUGAGUCGACCCCUAAGGCGAGGCAGAAAUGCGUAGUCGAUGGGAAACGGGUUAAUAUUCCCGUACUGGUGAUAAUUGCGAUGGGGGGACGGAGAAGGCUAGGCUAUCCGGGCGACGGUUGUCCCGGUUUAAGGAUGUAGGCAGGUGAAUUAGGCAAAUCCGGUUCACUAUAUGCUGAGGUCCGAUGACGAGUCACUACGGUGAUGAAGUAGCUCAUGCCCCGCUUCCAGGAAAAGCCUCUAAGCUCUAGAUUAUCAUUAAUCGUACCCCAAACCGACACAGGUGGUCAGGUAGAGAAUACUCAGGCGCUUGAGAGAACUCGGGUGAAGGAACUAGGCAAAAUGGUGCCGUAACUUCGGGAGAAGGCACGCUGGCAUUAGGUGAAGUGAUUUACUCAUGGAGCUGAAGCCAGUCGCAGAUACCAGCUGGCUGCAACUGUUUAUUAAAAACACAGCACUGUGCAAACACGAAAGUGGACGUAUACGGUGUGACGCCUGCCCGGUGCUGGAAGGUUAAUUGAUGGGGUUAUCCGUAAGGAGAAGCUCUUGAUCGAAGCCCCAGUAAACGGCGGCCGUAACUAUAACGGUCCUAAGGUAGCGAAAUUCCUUGUCGGGUAAGUUCCGACCUGCACGAAUGGCGUAAUGAUGGCCAGGCUGUCUCCACCCGAGACUCAGUGAAAUUGAACUCGCUGUGAAGAUGCAGUGUACCCGCGGCAAGACGGAAAGACCCCGUGAACCUUUACUAUAGCUUGACACUGAACAUUGAGCCUUGAUGUGUAGGAUAGGUGGGAGGCUUCGAAGCGUGGACGCCAGUCUGCGUGGAGCCAACCUUGAAAUACCACCCUUUAAUGUUUGAUGUUCUAACGUUGCCCCAUUAUCUGGGGUGCGGACAGUGUCUGGUGGGUAGUUUGACUGGGGCGGUCUCCUCCCAAAGAGUAACGGAGGAGCACGAAGGUUGGCUAAGCAUGGUCGGACAUCAUGCGGUUAGUGCAAAGGCAUAAGCCAGCUUGACUGCGAGAGUGACGGCUCGAGCAGGUACGAAAGUAGGUCUUAGUGAUCCGGUGGUUCUGAAUGGAAGGGCCAUCGCUCAACGGAUAAAAGGUACUCCGGGGAUAACAGGCUGAUACCGCCCAAGAGUUCAUAUCGACGGCGGUGUUUGGCACCUCGAUGUCGGCUCAUCACAUCCUGGGGCUGAAGUAGGUCCCAAGGGUACGGCUGUUCGCCGUUUAAAGUGGUACGCGAGCUGGGUUUAGAACGUCGUGAGACAGUUCGGUCCCUAUCUGCCGUGGGCGUUGGAAGAUUGAAAGGGGCUGCUCCUAGUACGAGAGGACCGGAGUGGACGCACCACUGGUGUUCGGGUUGUCAUGCCAAUGGCAUUGCCCGGUAGCUAAGUGCGGAAGAGAUAACCGCUGAAAGCAUCUAAGCGGGAAACUUGCCUUGAGAUGAGUCUUCCUGACUCUUUAAGGGUCCUAAAGGAACGUUUAAGACUAAGACGUUGAUAGGUUGGGUGUGUAAGCGUAGCGAUACGUUGAGCUAACCAAUACUAAUGAACCGUGAGGUUUAACCUGACAACACCGAAGGUGUUUUAG
rnacentral:rRNA from 1 species